UACAGAGGGUGCAAGCGUUGUUCGGAAUUAUUGGGCGUAAAGCGCGUGUAGGCGGCAGACCAAGUCGGCGGUGAAAGCGCCCGGCUCAACUGGGCGAGGUCCGUGGAAACUGGUCAGCUGGAGGACGGUAGAGGCGAGUGGAAUUCCUGGUGUAGCGGUGAAAUGCGCAGAUAUCAGGAGGAACACCAAUGGCGAAGGCAGCUCGCUGGGACGGUACUGACGCUGAGGCGCGAAAGCGUGGGGAGCAAACAGG
rnacentral:rRNA from 1 species